UACGUAGGGUGCAAGCGUUGUCCGGAAUUAUUGGGCGUAAAGAGCUCGUAGGCGGUCUGUCGCGUCUGCUGUGAAAAUCCGGGGCUCAACCCCGGACUUGCAGUGGGUACGGGCAGACUAGAGUGUGGUAGGGGAGACUGGAAUUCCUGGUGUAGCGGUGAAAAUGCGCAGAUAUCAGGAGGAACACCGAUGGCGAAGGCAGGUCUCUGGGCCACUACUGACGCUGAGAAGCGAAAGCAUGGGGGAGCGAACAGG
rnacentral:rRNA from 1 species